UAAUAGGUGGUUCUAGAUCGAAUGCCAUUUCCUUCACGUCUUCUCUACUUUCAAAUGAAUUUCUCAUACAUUUUCUCUCUCUAUCCAUAGUAGAUAUGGGAGGGGAAACAACGAGGUUCAUUCGCCGAACUCCCAAGCAGAUGAAGAGUUGAAGGACAAAAUUCUGAUUCAUACUCAGAGUCUCGCAAGUAAUUGAAUGAGUCUACUGCACAUACUGCGAAAAUGGAUGGAACUUUUUUGGGUUUACAAGAAGGAGCCUGGUUUUUAGGCGUAUUCCAUACCAUAAAAUAGAAAGCAUUCUAGAAGCUUGGCUUGGUUUGAAGAGUUAAAGUGAUUCAGGGCAUGGAACAUGUGUACUAAUGUUUAGUGAUGGAAUCGAUUCCAAUAUAUAUCCCUAACGGGUGCAAAUCAAGCUUUUUGUACUAAUGUUCAGUGAAGCUGAUGGGAUCAUUUGCUAUCACAUUAAAGUUUUGUUGUUAUUCGUACUGCUCAGACAAUUUUUGCUCCCAUGUAACUUACUAGCUCAAUUGGUAGAGCAUUGUGCAUUUGCACAAAGGUUGUAGGUUCAAAUCCUACGUAGGUUGUGGUGUAUUUAAGUAAAAUUUUGUAUAUAUGCUCAAUUUAAUAAC